AACGAACGCUGGCGGCAGGCCUAACACAUGCAAGUCGAGCGAGGACUUCGGUCCUAGCGGCGGACGGGUGAGUAACGCGUGGGAACGUGCCCUUUACUUCGGAAUAGCCCUGGGAAACUGGGAGUAAUACCGGAUGAGCCCUUUGGGGGAAAGAUUUAUCGGCGAAGGAUCGGCCCGCGUUGGAUUAGGUAGUUGGUGGGGUAAUGGCCUACCAAGCCGACGAUCCAUAGCUGGUUUGAGAGGAUGAUCAGCCACACUGGGACUGAGACACGGCCCAGACUCCUACGGGAGGCAGCAGUGGGGAAUCUUAGACAAUGGGGGAAACCCUGAUCUAGCCAUGCCGCGUGAGCGAUGAAGGCCUUAGGGUUGUAAAGCUCUUUCAGCUGGGAAGAUAAUGACGGUACCAGCAGAAGAAGCCCCGGCUAACUCCGUG
rnacentral:rRNA from 1 species